CCCCUCUCAGGAUUGCAUCUGGAGAGUUUUCAGUACUUUACCAGUCUCUGCUGCGGGGGGUGGAGAGUGUCAAGCAGAGGCCUAUCCAUUCAUUCCUAGCUUGGGCAGUGGCUAGCGAGUGGAAGGCAAUCUGCGACAAGU